CCUACGGGAGGCAGCAGUGGGGAAUAUUGCGCAAUGGGCGAAAGCCUGACGCAGCGACGCCGCGUGAGGGAUGAAGGUCUUCGGAUCGUAAACCUCUGUCAGCAGGGAAGAACGGUCACUGUGCUAAUCAGCAGUGAAUUGACGGUACCUGCAAAGGAAGCACCGGUUAACUCCGUGCCAGCAGCCGCGGUAAUACGGAGGGUGCGAGCGUUAAUCGGAAUUACUGGGCGUAAAGCGCUCGUAGGCGGUAUGUCAAGUCAAGGGGGAAAUCCCCGCGCUCAACGUGGGAACUGCCUUUGAAACUGGGAAACUGGAGUGUGUGAGAGGAUAGUGGAAUUCCAGGUGUAGGAGGGAAAUCCGUAGAUAUCUGGAGGAACAUCAGUGGCGAAGGCGACGAUCUGGCACAUAACUGACGCUGAGGAGCGAAAGCGUGGGUAGCAAACAGGAUUAGAUACCCCUGUAGUC
rnacentral:rRNA from 1 species